rnacentral:rRNA from 1 species
CCUGGGAGUGAAGUUUAGUAAUGAAGUCUGUGAGCUGUGCGUCAAGAAAAGCCGCUAUUGUUCAUACCAUACCCGUACCGUAAACCGACACAGGUGGAUGAGGAGAGAAUCCUAAGGCCGGCGGAAGAAGCAUUGUCAAGGAACUCGGCAAAAUGACCCCGUAACUUCGGGAGAAGGGGUGCCUGCGAGAGCAGGCCGCAGAGAAUAGGCUCAAGCAACUGUUUAGCAAAAACACAGGUCUAUGCGAAACCGAAAGGUGAGGUAUAUGGGCUGACGCCUGCCCGGUGCUGGAAGGUUAAGAGGAGAGGUUAGCGGUAACGCGAAGCUUUGAAUUUAAGCCCCAGUAAACGGCGGCCGUAACGAUAACGGUCCUAAGGUAGCGAAAUUCCUUGUCGGGUAAGUUCCGACCCGCACGAAAGGCGUAAUGAUUUGAGCGCUGUCUCGACAAUGCAUCCGGUGAAAUUGAAGUACCAGUGAAGAUGCUGGUUACCUGCGCCAGGACGGAAAGACCCCAUGGAGCUUUACUCCAGUUUGGUACUGGGAUCCGGUACUGCAUGUACAGGAUAGGUGGGAGGCUGAGAAUCGGUAACGCCAGUUGCCGAGGAGCCGCUGUUGGGAUACCACCCUUGCAGUAUUGGGUUUCUAACCAGCCGCCGUGACCCGGCGGUGGGACAAUGCCAGACGGGGAGUUUGACUGGGGCGGUCGCCUCCGAAAGGGUAUCGGAGGCGCCCAAAGGUUCCCUCAGGAUGGACGGAAACCAUCCAAAGAGUGCAAAGGCAGAAGGGAGCUUGACUGCGACACCGACGGGUGGAGCAGGUACGAAAGUAGGGCUUAGUGAUCCGGUGGUAUUAAGUGGGAAUGCCAUCGCUCAACGGAUAAAAGCUACCCUGGGAUAACAGGCUUAUCACUCCCAAGAGUUCACAUCGACGGAGUGGUUUGGCACCUCGAUGUCGGCUCAUCGCAUCCUGGGGCUGUAGUAGGUCCCAAGGGUUGGGCUGUUCGCCCAUUAAAGCGGUACGCGAGCUGGGUUCAGAACGUCGUGAGACAGUUCGGUCCCUAUCCGGCGUGGGCGUAGGAUAUCUGAGAGGAGCUGUCCUUAGUACGAGAGGACCGGGAUGGACGGGCCGCUGGUGCACCGGUUAGACUGCCAAGUCUAUAGCCGGGUAGCCAAGCCCGGAAGGGAUAAACGCUGAAGGCAUCUAAGCGUGAAGCCCCCCUCAAGAUGAGAUAUCCCAUCCGAAAGGAGUAAACCCCCUUGAAGACGACGAGGUCGAUAGGGCAGAGGUGGAAGUGUGGUAACACAUGGAGCUGACUGCUACUAAUAGGGUGAGGGCUUGACCGA